AUAUAAAAAAGAAGAUGUGGUAUGAUUGCCAAUGAGACAACUGUCCACAAGAGACCAAAAUGACACAGACAUUAACAACUAUAGGUCACCGUACGGCCUUCAACAAUGAUUAAAGCCCAUACCGCAUAGUCAGCUAUAAAAGGCCUCGAUAAGACAAUGAAAAACAAUUCAAACGAGAAAAGUAACGGCCAUAUUUAUAAAAAACUAGAGGCUCUAAAGAGCCUGUGUCGCUCACCUUGGUAUAUGUGAAUAUUAAACAAAGGACGCAGAUAGAUUCAUGACAAAAUUGUGUUUUGGUGAUGGUGAAGUGUUUGUACAUCUUACUUUACUGAACAUUCUUGCUGCUUACAAUUAUCUUUAUCUAUAAUGAACUUGGCCAAGUAGUUUCAGUGGAAAAUGUUAGUAAAAAUUUACAAAUUUUAUGAAAAUUGUUAAAAAAUUGACUAUAAAGGACAAUAACUCCUUAGGGGGUCAAUUGACC
rnacentral:lncRNA from 1 species